rnacentral:rRNA from 1 species
AUACGGAGGGUGCAAGCGUUACUCGGAAUCACUGGGCGUAAAGGGCGCGCAGGCGGUUUGAUUAGUCAGAUGUGAAAGCCCACGGCUUAACCGUGGAAGUGCAUUUGAAACUGUCAGACUUGAGUACCAGAGGGGGUAGUGGAAUUCCCGGUGUAGAGGUGAAAUUCGUAGAUAUCGGGAGGAAUACCGGUGGCGAAGGCGACUACCUGGCUGGAUACUGACGCUGAGGCGCGAAAGCGUGGGGAGCAAACAGGAUUAGAAACCCCAGUAGUCC